rnacentral:rRNA from 1 species
AUUGAACGCUGGCGGUAGGCCUAACACAUGCAAGUCGAACGCGAAAGUCCUGGGAUGAGUAGAGUGGCGGACGGGUGAGUAACGCGUAGGAAUCUGUCCUGUAGUGGGGGGAUAACGUUUCGAAAGGAACGCUAAUACCGCAUACGCCCUACGGGGAAGCGGGGAGUCUUCGGACCUCGCGCUAGAGGAGGAGCCUGCGUCGGAUUAGCUAGUUGGUGAGGUAAAGGCUCACCAAGGCGACGAUCCGUAGCUGGUCUGAGAGGAUGAUCAGCCACACCGGAACUGAGACACGGUCCGGACUCCUACGGGAGGGCAGCAGUUGGGGGAAUAAUUCGCGCAAUGGGCGAAAGCCUGACGCAGCCAUUACCGCGUGUGU